GAUGAACGCUGGCGGCGUGCCUAAUACAUGCAAGUCGAGCGUAAGGACGAGAAGAUCUCUUUCUUGAUGUUAGCGGCGGACGGGCGAGUAACACGUGGAUAACCUACUUCUAAGUCUGGGAUAACUUCGGGAAACAGGAGCUAAUACUGGCUCAUAUCUUGAACCGCUUGGUGCAAAAGUGAAAGACGGUCUUGCUGAUACUUAUAGAUGGCUUCGCGCUACUUUAGCUAGUUGGUAAGGUAACGGCUUACCAAGGCAACGAUGCAUAUCCGACCUGAGAGGGUGAUCGCCCACCCUGGAACUGAGACACGGUCCAGACUCCUACGGGAGGCAGCAGUAGGGAAUUUUCGGCAAUGGGCGAAAGCCUGAUGGAGCAACGCCGCGUGAGUGAUGAAGGCCUUCGGACCGUAAAACUCUUUUAUUGGGGAAGAACAUAUGUUUAAGAAAAAGUCCACGUCUUGACGGUACCUAAUCAAUAAGCCACGGCUAACUUCGUG
rnacentral:rRNA from 1 species